AGGAUCCCAGACAGAAACGGUGCUGCUAAAACGUAUAAGGCCAACUCCUUGGAUAACCAACUAACCAAUAGAACCUUGUCCACGUUCAGAUCACCAGAAAAAACCAAGUCGCGGCCUGGUGGCUUGAUGAGUGCAAACACCCCCACCCCCACCCCCACAGCUUCCACCUCCGCCAUGGCCCCUGUGAAGAAAAAGAGG